AUCUGGUUGAUCCUGCCAGUAGUCAUAUGCUUCUCAAGAUAAGCCAUGCAUGUCUAAAUUAUAAAACAAUUAUGCAAUUGAAACUGCAGACGGCUCGAUAAAUCAGUUAUCGUUUGUUGAUAGUUUUCUACAUGGAUAACCGUGAUAACUUCAAGAACUAAUACAUGACAGCCAACUGGCGUAUAUAUUAGAUACAAACCAACAGUAUGGUGAUUCAUAAUAUCUUGUCGAACCGAUCUUCGGUGUAUCAUUCAAAUUUCUGCCCUAUCAACUGCCGAUGGUAGGAUCGUGGCCUAUGGUAACAACAGGUAACAGGGAAUCAGGGUUCUAUUCCGGAGGGAGCCUGAGAAACGGCUACCACAUCCAAAAGAAGGCAACGGGCCUUAAAUUACCAAUCCUGACACAGGAGGUAGUGACAAUAUAUAUGUGAUCCGGGGCUCUUUGAGUUUCGGAAUUGGAAUGAGUACAAUUUAAACACCUUGAGGAACAAUUGGAGCAAGUCUGGUGCCAGCAGCCGCGUGAGAAUUCAGCUCCAAUAGCGUAUAUUAAUGUUGUUGCAGUUAAAAAGCUCGUAGUUGAAAUUGGGCGGGCCUAUUAGUUUAGAGCCGCUUCAGGAAGAACUUCUUCCAGUUACUUUGAAAAAAUUAAGUGUUCUUGCAGGUUUCGCCUGAAUAUAUUAGCAUGGAAUAACAUAACGACGAGGGUCCAUUUUGUUGUUUAGCUUGCAAACCCACGUAAUUAAUAGGGACAGUCGGGGCGUCAGUAUUGUGUUGUCGGGGAGGUAGAAUUCUUGGAUUUACACAAGACUAGCUUACUGCGAGGCAUUCGCCGGGAUGUAUUCAUUAAUCAAGAACGAAAGUUAGGGGAUCCAAAGAUGUCGAUGGUUGAAUCGUCCUUCAAGGAAUUCCUAGUAAGCGCAAGUCAUCAACUUGCGUUGAUUACGUCCCUACCCUUUGUACACCGCCGUCACUACUGCCGAUUGAAUGGUUUGAGUGAGACGCCGGGAGGGCGAGAUGAGGAGGCAACCCCUUUUGAACAUCAAACUUGGUCAAACGAUUAUUUAGAGGAAGUAAAAGUCGUAACAAAGGUUCCGUGGGUGAACCUGCGGAAGGAUCAUUA
rnacentral:rRNA from 1 species